UACGUAGGGACCAAGCGUUGUUCGGAUUUACUGGGCGUAAAGGGCGCGUAGGCGGCAUUUCAAGUCAGCUGUGAAAUCUCCGGGCUUAACUCGGAACGGUCAGCUGAUACUGCUUUGCUAGAGUGCAGAAGGGGCAAUCGGAAUUCUUGGUGUAGCGGUGAAAUGCGUAGAUAUCAAGAGGAACACCUGAGGUGAAGACGGGUUGCUGGGCUGACACUGACGCUGAGGCGCGAAAGCUAGGGUAGCAAACGGG
rnacentral:rRNA from 1 species